rnacentral:rRNA from 1 species
UACGGGGGGGGCAAGCGUUGUUCGGAAUUACUGGGCUUAAAGGGUGCGUAGGCGGCUUUCUAAGUUGGAUGUGAAAACUCUGGGCUCAACCCAGAGCCUGCAUCCAAAACUGGAGAGCUUGGGUUCUGGAGGGGAAAGCGGAAUUCCUGGUGUAGCGGUGAAAUGCGUAGAUAUCAGGAGGAACACCGGUGGCGAAGGCGGCUUUCUGGACAGAUACCGACGCUGAGGCACGAAAGCUAGGGGAGCAAACAGG